UACGGAGGGGGUUAGCGUUGUUCGGAAUGACUGGGCGUAAAGCGCGCGUAGGCGGGCUGGAAAGUCGGGGGUGAAAUCCCGGGGCUCAACCCCGGAAUGGCCUUCAAAACUCCCAGCCUAGAGUUCGAGAGAGGUGAGUGGAAUUCCGAGUGUAGAGGUGAAAUUCGUAGAUAUUCGGAGGAACACCAGUGGCGAAGGCGGCUCACUGGCUCGACACUGACGCUGAGGUGCGAAAGCGUGGGGAGCAAACAGGAUUAGAAACCCCAGUAGUCC
rnacentral:rRNA from 1 species